UUACUCGAGAGUUUGAUCCCGGCUCAGAAUCAACGCUGGCGGCGCGCUUAACACAUGCAAGUCGAACGAGAAAAUUCCCUUCGGGGAGUGAGUAAAGUGGCGAACGGGUGAGUAACACGUGGGUUACCUGCCCUCGAGUGGGGAAUAACUCUGGGAAACCGGGGCUAACACCGCAUACGAUCCUUCGGGAUGAAAGUCUUCGGACGCUCGAGGAGGGGCCCGCGGCCGAUUAGCUUGUUGGCGGGGUAAUGGCCCACCAAGGCAAAGAUCGGUAGCCGGCCUGAGAGGGCGCACGGUCACACUGGCACUGAGACACGGGCCAGACUCCUACGGGAGGCAGCAGUGAGGAAUCUUGGACAAUGGGGGAAACCCUGAUCCAGCGACGCCGCGUGAGUGAUGAAGCCUUUCGGGGUGUAAAGCUCUUUCAGCGGGGACAAUCAUGAUGGUACCCGCACAAGCAGCUGCGGCUAACUACGUGCCAGCAGCCGCGGUAAUACGUAGGCAGCAAGCGUUGUUCGGAAUUACUGGGCGUAAAGCGAGUGUAGGCGGUCUGCCAAGUCUGUUGUGAAAUCUCCCGGCUCAACUGGGAGGGUGCGUCGGAAACUGGCAGGCUCGAGUGCGAGAGGGGAGAGUGGAAUUCCUGGUGUAGCGGUGGAAUGCGUAGAUAUCAGGAGGAACACCGGUGGUGAAGACGGCUCUCUGGAUCGCCACUGACGCUGAGACUCGAAAGCGUGGGGAGCAAACAGGAUUAGAUACCCUGGUAGUCCACGCCCUAAACGAUGCAUACUUGGUGUGG
rnacentral:rRNA from 1 species